UACGAAGGGGGCUAGCGUUGUUCGGAAUUACUGGGCGUAAAGCGCACGUAGGCGGAUAUUUAAGUCAGGGGUGAAAUCCCGGGGCUCAACCCCGGAACUGCCUCUGAUACUGGGUAUCUUGAGUGUGGUAGAGGUAAGUGGAAUUGCGAGUGUAGAGGUGAAAUUCGUAGAUAUUCGCAGGAACACCAGUGGCGAAGGCGGCUUUCUGGACCAAUACUGACGCUGAGACGCGAAAGCGUGGGGAGCAAACAGG
rnacentral:rRNA from 1 species